rnacentral:rRNA from 1 species
AUUGAACGCUGGCGGCAUGCCUUACACAUGCAAGUCGAACGGCAGCAUGAUCUAGCUUGCUAGAUUGAUGGCGAGUGGCGAACGGGUGAGUAAUACAUCGGAACGUGCCCUGUAGUGGGGGAUAACUAGUCGAAAGAUUAGCUAAUACCGCAUACGACCUGAGGGUGAAAGUGGGGGACCGCAAGGCCUCAUGCUAUAGGAGCGGCCGAUGUCUGAUUAGCUAGUUGGUGGGGUAAAGGCCCACCAAGGCGACGAGCAGUAGCUGGUCUGAGAGGACGAUCAGCCACACUGGGACUGAGACACGGCCCAGACUCCUACGGGAGGCCGCAGUGGGGAAUUUUGGACAAUGGGGGCAACCCUGAUCCAGCAAUGCCGCGUGUGUGAAGAAGGCCUUCGGGUUGUAAAGCACUUUUGUCCGGAAAGAAAUCGCACUUACUAAUAUUAGGUGUGGAUGACGGUACCGGAAGAAUAAGGACCGGCUAACUACGUG